CAAAAGGUUCUUUUAAGAGCCACCCACUUACUCUUUAAAAAGCAAU
rfam:Danio rerio chromosome 7, GRCz11 reference primary assembly.